GACGGAGGGUGCAAGCGUUGUUCGGAAUUACUGGGCGUAAAGGGCGCGUAGGCGGUGUGUCAAGUCAGGCGUGAAAGCCCCGGGCUCAACCUGGGAACCGCGCUUGAGACUGGCACGCUCGAGUUCGGGAGAGGAUGGUGGAAUUCCCAGUGUAGAGGUGAAAUUCGUAGAUAUUGGGAAGAACACCGAUGGCGAAGGCAGCCAUCUGGACCGACACUGACGCUGAGGCGCGAAAGCGUGGGGAGCAAACAGG
rnacentral:rRNA from 1 species